rnacentral:rRNA from 1 species
GAUGAACGCUGGCGGCGUGCCUAAUACAUGCAAGUCGAGCGAACAGACGAGGAGCUUGCUCCUCUGACGUUAGCGGCGGACGGGUGAGUAACACGUGGAUAACCUACCUAUAAGACUGGGAUAACUUCGGGAAACCGGAGCUAAUACCGGAUAAUAUAUUGAACCGCAUGGUUCAAUAGUGAAAGACGGUUUUGCUGUCACUUAUAGAUGGAUCCGCGCCGCAUUAGCUAGUUGGUAAGGUAACGGCUUACCAAGGCAACGAUGCGUAGCCGACCUGAGAGGGUGAUCAGCAACACUGGAACUGAGACACGGUCCACAGUCCUACGGGAGGCAGCAGUAGGGAAUCUUCCGCAAUGGGCGAAAGCCUGACGGAGCAACGCCACGUGAGUGAUGAAGGUCUUCGGAUCGUAAAACUCUGUUAUUAGGGAAGAACAAAUGUGUAAGUAACUAUGCACGUCUUGACGGUACCUAAUCAGAAAGCCACGGCUAACUACGUG